rnacentral:lncRNA from 1 species
AUGAGGGACGUGGCCCUGCGGGGCUGUCACCGCUUUGCAAAAACGCCCGCGGAGCUGGGGAGAGUGGUCCAGGGGAUUGCAAAACCCCCGCUGCUGGAGAUUCCCUGCAGGCUCCUCCUGGGCACUUAUUCCUCCUGCUCCCCAACGUUUGGGUGGCCUCAACAAACACCCCUUGCCCUUCCCCUCCCCUUAGAGGUCACGUUUUCUUUGGGUUUGGUUUUUUUUUUUUUUGCCUUCUUGAAGUUUUGCUGCAAACGUUUCCCGGGAAGCACCAGCGGCUGCGCCAGGCUGCGCGUUCAUGAGCCGAGGGGUUUAAAAAAUGGCAUUUGCUUUGCAAGGGCUGCCUUUUUUUUAAAAAAAAAUGCUGCGUUCCCUCUGAUGGCUUCAUCUGGGGUGGCCAAGGCUGGGAACUCUCUCGUUGUCCAGCCCCAGCUGGGUUUUAGCAAGGGGAAGCGCCAGGAUUUUAGCGGCGUGGACGGGAGAGAGGGCACAGACCUGUCCCCCUGCCCCGGGGUGUCCCCAGGUGCUCGUGUGCCACCACCGGGCUGCCUCCCGGCUGGGACGGGUGCUCCUGGCCCCGAGCACGGUGGGUUUCGGGUUUGCGGUCAGCACCGGAGGGGCUGGGUGCUGAAAGCCAGCACCUGGCAGCACAGCGGGGCGCUUCCCGCUGCUCCCUGCUGGCUCCGUCCCUCCGAGCUGGCCGCUGGGUGCCAAAUCUCGGUGGCCAGGCUGCUCCCCCCUGGGACCUUCACCCCUGUGGGUGCUUUGUCACCACCAGCACCGCGCACGGACGCGUGCCCCUCACCAGUGCACCACAGCCCGGGCUGCAAGGCGCGACGAUCUCUCCGUGGGCACCCAGUGGCUGUCCCGGCGGUGCCUCAGCCCCGGUGGCCCCCAGCUGGCUGCAGAGCAAGCAGGCAGCUCCAGGCGCUGGCCAGGAGGAGGAAUCCAGUCCGGCCUCUGGGACAUCCACCCUGGGAAGAGCCGAGGUUCCCAGCCGCUGGUUUCUAG